rnacentral:rRNA from 1 species
AUUGAACGCUGGCGGCAGGCCUAACACAUGCAAGUCGAACGAGUGGCGGACGGGUGAGUAAUGUCUGGGAAACUGCCUGAUGGAGGGGGAUAACUACUGGAAACGGUAGCUAAUACCGCAUACUAUCGGAUGUGCCCAGAUGGGAUUAGCUAGUAGGUGGGGUAACGGCUCACCUAGGCGACGAUCCCUAGCGGGUCUGAGAGGAUGACCAGCCACACUGGGACUAAGACACGGUCCAGACUCCUACGGGAGGCAGCAGUGGGGAAUAUUGGACAAUGGGCGCAAGCCUGAUGCAGCAAUGCCGCGUGAAUGAAGAAGGCCGUCGGGUUGUAAAGUACUUUCAGCGGGGAGGCGUUACCCACAGAAGAAGCAACGGCUAACUCCGUGCCAGCAGCCGCGGUAAUAC